GAACAAGGUUUGAUCGGUAGUGUGAACAAGGUUUGAUCAGUAGUGAGAACAAGGUUUGAUCAGUAGUGAGAACAAGGUUUGAUCAGUAGUGAGAACAAGGUUUGAUCAGUAGUGUGAACA